GUAGGUCUUGUGUGUUAGUUGUGCUCUGCAUGGUGUCAUAUUCACAUUGUUUUUAAUGUCAAAUAGUUUAUCCAUAAUGUUAGACCAUUGCUAUAAAAUAAUAGUUUUGUGCUUAAUAUAGAAAAGGCACUUUUGAUUUUGUUGUUAAAAAAUAAAAAUGCAAAAUGAUGCUUGGCUUAUUUAGGCUUUGAUAAAUCUUUCUCUGGUAGUCCAUCAUCUGUGCUCUUGCUGUUGUGAAACAUGUGUCCAUCUUGGAGUCUGAGAAGAAAUUCCUGUGAGGACCUGUCAUUGACGCAAGUGAGUGGGAUCACUUUGACAGCAGGAUAAAGAAACAAUUAAAGAAGAGUGGCAAGCCAUAGGAGAGUCAUCUACAGGAGUCAUGCUGUUAAGAAAUAACCAAGUCAUGGUGUUAAUAAAUAAUUUUUUUG